rnacentral:misc_RNA from 1 species
GAUGAAGAACGUAGCGAAAUGCGAUAAGUAGUGUGAAUUGCAGAAUUCAGUGAAUCAUCGAAUCUUUGAACGCACAUGGCGCCUUCCAGUAUCCUGGGAGGCAUGCCUGUCCGAGCGUCGUUUCAACCCUCGAGCCCUCGUGGCCCGGCGUUGGGGAUCUGCCACGGCAGGCCCCGAAAUACAGUGGCGGACCCGUUAGGCCCUUCCGUUGCGUAGUAGCAUCAGCCUCGCAUCGGGAGCCGGCGGGCUCUCCUGCCUCUAAACCCCCCAACAAGCCCGCUCCGGCGGCACCAAGGUUGACCUCGGAUCAGGUAGGAAUACCCGCUGAACUUAAGCAUAUCAAUAAGCGGAGGA